rnacentral:rRNA from 1 species
GACGAACGCUGGCGGCGUGCUUAACACAUGCAAGUCGAACGGAAAGGCCCUGCUUUUGUGGGGUGCUCGAGUGGCGAACGGGUGAGUAACACGUGAGUAACCUGCCCUUGACUUUGGGAUAACUUCAGGAAACUGGGGCUAAUACCGGAUAGGAGCUCCUGCUGCAUGGUGGGGGUUGGAAAGUUUCGGCGGUUGGGGAUGGACUCGCGGCUUAUCAGCUUGUUGGUGGGGUAGUGGCUUACCAAGGCUUUGACGGGUAGCCGGCCUGAGAGGGUGACCGGCCACAUUGGGACUGAGAUACGGCCCAGACUCCUACGGGAGGCAGCAGUGGGGAAUAUUGCACAAUGGGCGGAAGCGUGAUGCAGCAACGCCGCGUGCGGGAUGACGGCCUUCGGGUUGUAAACCGCUUUCGCAUGUGACGAAGCGUGAGUGACGGUAAUGGGUAAAGAAGCACCGGCUAACUACGUG